rnacentral:rRNA from 1 species
UACGGGGGGGGUAAGCGUUGUUCGGAAUUACUGGGCGUAAAGGGCUCGUAGGCGGCCAACUAAGUCAGACGUGAAAUCCCUCAGCUUAACUGGGGAACUGCGUCUGAUACUGGAUGGCUUGGAUCCGGGAGAGGGAUGCGGAAUUCCAGGUGUAGCGGUGAAAUGCGUAGAUAUCUGGAGGAACACCGGUGGCGGAGGCGGCAUCCUGGACCGGUAUUGACGCUGAGGAGCGAAAGCCAGGGGAGCAAACGGG